rnacentral:rRNA from 1 species
GAGGAAUAAKCAUCGGCUAACUCCGUGCCAGCAGCCGCGGUAAUACGGGGGAUGCAAGCGUUAUCCGGAAUCAUUGGGCGUAAAGCGCCUGUAGGUUGUUUAAUAAGUCUGUUGUUAAAGACUAGGGCUUAACCCUAGAAAAGCAAUGGAAACUACUAGACUAGAGUAUGGCAGGGGUAGAGGGAAUUUCUAGUGUAGCGGUGAAAUGCGUAGAUAUUAGAAAGAACACCGGUGGCGAAAGCGCUCUACUGGACCAUUACUGACACUCAGAGGCGAAAGCUAGGGUAGCAAAAGGGAUUAGAUACCCCUGUAGUCCUAGCCGUAAACGAUGGAUACUAGAUGUUGUGCAUAAAGUACAGUAUCGUAGCUAACGCGUUAAGUAUCCCGCCUGGGGAGUACGCUCGCAAGGGUGAAACUCAAAGGAAUUGACGGGGGCCCGCACAAGCGGUGGAGCAUGUGGUUUAAUUCGAUGCAACGCGAAGAACCUUACCAGGGCUUGACAUACUACAGAUCUUUUUGAGAAAAAAGAGUGCCUUCGGGAAUGUAGAUACAGGUGGUGCAUGGCUGUCGUCAGCUCGUGUCGUGAGAUGUUGGGUUAAGUCCCGCAACGAGCGCAACCCUUAUUUUUAGUUACUAAUUCGUUAGGUUCUCUAGAAAGACUGCCGGUGACAAACCGGAGGAAGGUGAGGAUGACGUCAAGUCAGCAUGCCCCUUAUGUCCUGGGCUACACACGUGCUACAAUGGGUAAGACAAAGAGUUGCGAGCUCGCGAGAGUCAGCUAAUCUCAUAAACUUCCCCUAAGUUCAGAUUGUAGGCUGCAACUCGCCUACAUGAAG